UCGGACCCAGGUCCCAUCUACUAUCCUUCUGACCCUAUGUAGCCAGGUCCCAUCUACUAUCCUUCUGACCCUAUGUAGCCAGGUCCCAUCUACUAUCCUUCUGACCCUAUGUAGCCAGGUCCCAUCUACUAUCCUUCUGACGCAGGUCCAUCUACUAUCCUUCUGACCCUAUGUAGCCAGGUCCAUCUACUAUCCUUCUGACCCAGGUCCAUCUACUAUCCUUCUGACCCUAUGUAGCCAGGUCCCAUCUACUAUCCUUCUGACCCUAUGUAGCCAGGUCCCAUCUACUAUCCUCCUGACCCUAUGUAGCCAGGUCCCAUCUACUAUCCUCCUGACCCUAUGUAGCCAGGUCCAUCUACUAUCCUUCUGACCCU
ensembl:lncRNA